CCUACGGGUGGCAGCAGUGGGGAAUAUUGCACAAUGGGGGCAAGCCUGAUGCAGCGACGCCGCGUGAGUGAAGAAGGCCUUCGGUAUGUAAAGCUCUAUUAGCAGGGAAGAAAAUGACGGUACCUGAGUAAGAAGCCCCGGCUAACUACGUGCCAGCAGCCGCGGUAAUACGUCGGGGGCAAGCGUUAUCCGGAGUUACUGGGUGUAAAGGGAGCGUAGACGGGAGUGCAAGUCUGGAGUGAAAGGCGGGGGCUCAACCCCCGGACUGCUCUGGAAACUGUACGGCUGGAGUGCAGGAGAGGUAAGUGGAAUUCAUAGUGUAGCGGUGAAAUGCGUAGAUAUCAGGAGGAACACCAGUGGCGAAGGCGGCUUACUGGACUGUAACUGACAUUGAGGCUCGAAAGCGUGGGGAGCAAACAGGAUUAGAUACCCUAGUAGUC
rnacentral:rRNA from 1 species